rnacentral:rRNA from 1 species
CGGGACGGGUGGGUAACGCGUGGGUAACCUGCCUCACACAGGGGGAUAACAGUUGGAAACGGCUGCUAAUACCGCAUAAGCGCACAGUACCGCAUGGUACAGUGUGAAAAACUCCGGUGGUGUGAGAUGGACCCGCGUCUGAUUAGCUAGUUGGCAGGGCAGCGGCCUACCAAGGCGACGAUCAGUAGCCGACCUGAGAGGGUGACCGGCCACAUUGGGACUGAGACACGGCCCAA